rnacentral:rRNA from 1 species
GGCGUAGGUGAUGGACAACAGGUUGAUAUUCCUGUACUACCGAUAACCGUUUGAGAGAAGGGAUGACACAGUAGGAUAAGCUAAGCACACUGUUGGUUAUGUGUGCCCAAGCAUUGAGGCAGUCAAAGUAGGCAAAUCCGCUUUGAUAAUGCUGGGCUGUGAUGGGGAGCGAAAUUUAGUAGCGAAGUAGCUGAUUUCACACUGUCAAGAAAAGUCUCUAUCGAGGUUAAAGGUACCCGUACCGCAAACCGACACAGGUGGGUGAGGAGAGUAUCCUAAGGCCAGCGAGAGAACUGUUGUUAAGGAACUCGGCAAAAUGACCCCGUAACUUAGGGAUAAGGGGUGCCACCAUCAGGUGGCCGCAGAGAAUAGGCCCAAGCGACUGUUUACCAAAAACAUAGGUUUCUGCUAAGUCGCAAGACGAUGUAUAGGAGCUGACGCCUGCCCGGUGCUGGAAGGUUAAGGGGAUCUGUUAGAGCAAUCGAAGCAGUGAACUUAAGCCCCAGUAAACGGCGGCCGUAACUAUAACGGUCCUAAGGUAGCGAAAU